GAUGAACGCUGGCGGCGUGCCUAAUACAUGCAAGUCGAGCGAACAGACGAGGAGCUUGCUCCUCUGACGUUAGCGGCGGACGGGUGAGUCACACGUGGAUAACCUACCUAUAAGACUGGGAUAACUUCGGGAAACCGGAGCUAAUACCGGAUAAUAUAUUGAUCCGCAUGGUUCAAUAGUGAAAGUCGGUUUUUCUGUCUCUUCUAGAUGGAUCCGCGCCGCAUUAGCUAGUUGGUAAGGUAACGGCUUAUCAAGGCAACCAUGCGUAGCCGACCUGAGAGAGGGGUAGCCGACACGGGAGCGUAGCCGCGGUCCAGACUCCUACGGGAGGCAGCAGUAGGGAAUCUGCCGCAGUGGGCGGAAGCAUGACGGAGCAACGCCGCGUGAGUGAUGAAGGUCUUCGGAUCGUAAAACUGUGUUAUUAGGGAAAAACAAAUGUGUAAGUAACUAUGCACGUAUUGACGGUACCUAAUCAGAAAGCCACGGCUAACUACGUG
rnacentral:rRNA from 1 species